UACGAAGGGGGCGAGCGUUGUUCGGAUUUACUGGGCGUAAAGGGCGCGCAGGCGGCUAUCCAAGUCAGGCGUGAAAGCCCCGGGCUUAACCUGGGAGGUGCGUCUGGGACUGGGUGGCUAGAGUUCGGGAGAGGAGAGUGGAAUUCCCAGUGUAGAGGUGAAAUUCGUAGAUAUCGGGAGGAACGACCGGUGGCGAAGGCGGCUCACUGGUCCGGUACUGACGCUGAGGUGCGAAAGCGUGGGGAG
rnacentral:rRNA from 1 species